AUUAAAGGAUUGGAGACUAUAAAAGUGUCUUUAGAUCCGAUUUAAUCGGGAGGAAUAGCGAUGACGGCGAGAUAUCGUUUCGGUCGUCAUUUACUUCCAUUGACGAUUCGAUUGUUGCUCCUCCACAU